GGGCGGAGCCUCCGCCGUUACCGCCCCGCAACUUCUACCCGGACGCCGGGAAGCGCCCCUUAGGUGCCCUGAGUCUCCUGGCUCCGCGCCCACGGCCCACAGUGCCCGGCUUCAAGCUGACGAGUGUCACGGCUGCGCGUGAUCUUGGCUCUACCGCUGCGAAGAGGGUGCUGCCUUACCUCGCAGCCGAGGCACAGAAAGGGGACGCCCUGGCCUCGGGGCCACUGUGCUCGCUUUCAGUGCGCAGUCGCGAGCGCUGUCGGCCUGGAAGGCGGCCGGCGCGAUGAGCGCCAACGAGGACCAGGAGAUGGAACUAGAAGCAUUACGUUCUAUUUAUGAAGGAGAUGAAAGUUUCCGGGAAUUAAGUCCAGUUUCAUUUCAAUAUAGGAUAGGUGAAAGUGGUGAUCCCAAAGCCUUCUUAAUAGAGAUUUCAUGGACAGAAACAUACCCCCAGACACCUCCAAUUAUAUCUAUGAAUGCUUUUUUUAACAACACCAUAUCAUCGGCUGUAAAGCAAAGUAUAUUAGCCAAGUUACAGGAAGCAGUGGAAGUUAACCUUGGAACUGCUAUGACUUAUACAUUGUUUGAGUAUGCCAAAGACAAUAAAGAGCAAUUCAUGGAAAAUCACCAUCCUGUUAAUUCCACAACAUCCAUAAGCAAUAUCAUCUCAGUUGAAACUCCUAGUAUAGCCCCAUCAAGUAAGAAAAAAGAAAAGAAAGAACUUUCAAAAGCUCAGAAACGCAAGCUGGCAGAUAAAACAGAUCACAAAGGAGAACUUCCUCGAGGCUGGAACUGGGUUGAUGUUGUAAAGCAUUUGAGCAAAACUGGUUCUAAAGAUGAUGACUAGCACUUGGAAUUUGACAUAAGGAAAGAGCAUCCUUUAAAAAGUAAACUGGGUUCAACAUCUUUCAUUACUAUUUUCUGGUAUUGAGGUGGCUUUUUAUAAAAUACAGUUUUUGUAUGUUUCUCACAUAAUAAAUGUAAGCGGAAAAUUCAUGAAGAGAUCUGGUUGUACUAAAUUAUUUUCACAAAUUUGCCUUAACAAAAGGUGAAAAUGUUAGUUUAGUAGACUUUAUAAAACCCGGAGAGCUUACUAAAUGAACAAACAUAGGGGACAACAGUAAAUUUAUAUGAACUUAUUCUGGUGGAUGUGAUCAUUUUUAAAGAAAUAUGAAACCCUCUUCAAACUGUCAAAGUGGAAUAUUGAGUGUAUAAUUAUUUUAUAUCAUGAUUCAUAUUAAUAGGCUCCUUAUCCUAAAUAAAGUCUUCAUCUCUUCUUUUGCUUAAUUACUGGUAUAGAAUUUACUUCAGAGAAAUUUAAAUACCAGUAUUUGAACUUUAUAUCACACUCUUUAUAGUUACUUUUUAUUUUUCAACGGUAAACUCUUGAUUUGGGUCAAGAUGUUUGAUCGUGACAGCUUUCAAUAAUAAAUAUAAUACAGUACAAAAACCGAUCUGCCAAUUAUAUUAGAAAACAUUUUCAUAAAGCAAACAAUGAUGGUGCAAGCCUAUAAUCCCAGCACCCUGGA